UCCCCAUGGAUACCCUGGGAGGUCACUCUCCCUAGGCUCUGUCCAAGUGGUGUACAGGAGCAUAGGGCUUUGCCCCAUAUUUGUCCCUUUCCACAAUGUUGGAGAAGAAGGUGGGCCUUGAGUCUGUACCUGCAUAUUCCUAUGACCUCUCAAUUCCUGUGGACAAUGACUGAGGAGACAAAUCAUGCAGGAAACAAUG
rnacentral:snoRNA from 1 species